CCGCCAUUUCCUGGUACCCAUCCUUGCUGGUGGUGUCUGCAAUCAGCGGGGCCCUGGCUGAGUUCACGGGAAAGGAAAUGGCUCAUUGCUUCAGCCUUUAGACCGGGGGGCAGGGAGGGCCUGUCGGGAGGCCGCCUAGUCAGGGGCGUGUCAGAGGCCAGAGGGGCCGGGGCCCAGCAGCUGGGGCUUGGUAAGCUCUGGAGCCUGGGCUCCAGGCCAGCUCGCUGCCAACCUCCACCUGAGACCACCCCACCCCCAACCCCCUUCCUUCUCUCCCCUGCUGCCGAGGCGCGCCCUUCCGGAGUGAAACUUUGGUUUCUCACGACCCGGAAGGCUUGAAGCAAACCUGCAAUUACUCACUGCCUGGUCUGUGCGGGCUGCAGCUCUCAGACUCAGGAUGAGGUGGCGGUGGCGCUGUCGACUGACUCCUUGGCUUGUUCAGGCUGUGCAACCUCAGUCUCUCCUCCGCGAUGGCUGCCCCUGUCUGCUCAUCCUCACCUGGCCUUCAGCAGGUGCUCAGCUGACAUCGGUGAGGGAAUGGGAGUGAUUCGUCAUCACAGUAACCGUGUACUUCAGAGAUGGGAUCUUUCUACGUCACCCAGGCUGGAAUGCAAUGGUUAUUCACAGGUGUGAUCAUAGCUGGUCUUGACCUCGUGGGCUCAAGUGAUCCUCCUGCCUCAGCCUCCUGAACAGCUGGGACUACAGGUGUGUGCCACCACAUUUGGCUUACCAUUAUUUUAGAAGGACUUACACCUGUCUUGCUAUCUGGAGUCUGCAGAUUUCUUACCCAAGGUAAGCUCAAGCAGGG
rnacentral:lncRNA from 1 species